AUUGAACGCUGGCGGCCGGCCUAACACAUGCAAGUCGAGCGAGCGGCGGACGGGUGAGUAAUGUCUGGGGAUCUGCCUGAUGGCGGGGGAUCACUACUGGAAACGGUAGCUAAUACCGCAUACCCUCAGCUGAACCCAUAUGGGAUUAGCGUGUAGGUGGGGUAACGGCUCACCAAGGCGACGAUCCCUAGCUGGGCUGAGAGGAUGACCAGCCAAACUGGGACUGAGACACGGCCCAGACUCCUACGGGAGGCAGCAGUGGGGAAUAUUGCACAAUGGGCGAAAGCCUGAUGCAGCCAUGCCGAGUGUAUGAAGAAGGCCUUCGGGUUGUAAAGUACUUUCAGUAGGGAGGCGUUACCGACAGAAGAAGCACCGGCUAACGACGUGCCAGCAGCCGCGGUAAUUC
rnacentral:rRNA from 1 species